GAUGAACGCUGGCGGCGUGCCUAAUACAUGCAAGUCGAGCGAACGGACGAGAAGCUUGCUUUUCUGAUGUUAGCGGCGGACGGGUGAGUAACACGUGGAUAACCUACCUAUAAGACUGGGAUAACUUCGGGAAACCGGAGCUAAUACCGGAUAAUAUUUUGAACCGCAUGGUUCAAAAGUGAAAGACGGUCUUGCUGUCACUUAUAGAUGGAUCCGCGCUGCAUUAGCUAGUUGGUAAGGUAACGGCUUACCAAGGCAACGAUGGAUAGCCGACCUGAGAGGGUGAUCGGCCACACUGGAACUGAGACACGGUCCAGACUCCUACGGGAGGCAGCAGUAGGGAAUCUUCCGCAAUGGGCGAAAGCCUGACGGAGCAACGCCGCGUGAGUGAUGAAGGUCUUCGGAUCGUAAAACUCCGUUAUUAGGGAAGAACAUAUGUGUAAGUAACUGUGCACAUCUUGACGGUACCUAAUCAGAAAGCCACGGCUAACUACGUG
rnacentral:rRNA from 1 species